rnacentral:rRNA from 1 species
CCUACGGGUGGCUGCAGUGAGGAAUAUUGGUCAAUGGGCGCGAGCCUGAACCAGCCACGCAGCGUGAAGGAUGACUGCCCUAGGGGUUGUAAACUUCUUUUAUAAAGGAAUAAAGUGAGGCACGUGUGCCUAUUUGUAUGUACUUUAUGAAUAAGGAGCGGCUAACUCCGUGCCAGCAGCCGCGGUAAUACGGAGGAUCCGAGCGUUAUCCGGAUUUAGUGGGUUUAAAGGGAGCGGAGAUGGGUUGUUAAGUCAGUUGUGAAAGUUUGCGGCUCAACCGGAAAAUUGCAAUUGAUACUGGCAGGCUUGAGUACAGGUGAGGUAGGCGGAAUUCGUGGUGUAGCGGUGAAAUGCGUAGAUAUCACGAAGAACUCCGAUUGCGAAGGCAGCUUACUAAACUGCCACUGACAUUGAUGCUCGAAAGUGUGGGUAUCAAACAGGAUUAGAUACCCUUGUAGUC